rnacentral:rRNA from 1 species
UACGUAGGGGACGAGCGUUGUCCGGAAUUACUGGGCGUAAAGGGUGCGUAGGUGGUUUCUUAAGUCAGAGGUGAAAGGCUACGGCUCAACCGUAGUAAGCCUUUGAAACUGGGAAACUUGAGUGCAGGAGAGGAGAGUGGAAUUCCUAGUGUAGCGGUGAAAUGCGUAGAUAUUAGGAGGAACACCAGUUGCGAAGGCGGCUCUCUGGACUGUAACUGACACUGAGGCACGAAAGCGUGGGGAGCAAACAGGAUUAGAUACCCCUGUAGUCCCUGAGCGGG